rnacentral:lncRNA from 10 species
GAAGGAUUCUGCUGCUGAGGCAAAAUCCACUUCAACGGCCUUCCUUUGACUGAGGCAGUCGAGGACUCCUGAGUGGACUGACUGCUGGAACCACAGGCCUGCGGCCCACCUGGCCAUGGGCAGCACCACCACCUGAGAAAACCUCGGCCUGUCUGCCGGCAAACACAGCUGGAUCCACUUUCCAUCCAUAUCCAGAAUCUGACCACCUCCCACUACUCCCAGCCUGGCACCAGCCACCAGCACCUCUCACCUACAUGCUCCCAGGAGCCUCCCACCUCGCCUCCAUAUUCUACACUUGACCCUACAGCCUAGGCUCCACCCAGUGGCUACCGGAUUCUGCUAAAGCUUCAGUGUGAUUGUGCUACAUCUCUGCAACUCUGAAAAUGGUUGCCAUUUUCUCAGAGGUCUCUCCUCAAAGUCGUCAUUUCAAAGAGGCUCCGUCUUAGCUCAGGCUGCUGUAAUGACACACCACAGACUGGGUGGCUUAAACCACAGACGUGUAUUUUCCCUAGUUCUGGAAGCUGAGAAGGCCAAGGUCAAGGCACCUGGCUUGCAGAUGGCCACCUUCUUGCCGUGUCCUCACAUGGUGAAGAGAGAGAGAGCUCUGGUCUCUCUUGCUCUCCUUACAGGGACACUAAUCCCAUCGUGGUGGGGAGGGGCACACACGUGGCCUCAUCUAAAUCUAAUUAGCUUCGUCCCAAAGUUCCCACCUCCAGACACGAUCACACUGGGGGUUAGGGCUUCAACAUGUGGCUUUUAGGUGACGCACACAUCCAUCCUCAUUUCACCCGCCCUGGCAACUCUUUUGAAAAUGUCAACCCCGGACACUCAUAUUUCUCUUCUCUGCUUUAUUCUCUCCACAGCACUCAUCCACCCUAGCAUAUAAUCCAUUCUACUUUCUCUUAUUUAUGGUCUGUCUCCUGCACUAGAAUGGAACUCCAUAUGGAGAGGUAUUUCCUUUCUUCCAUCUACUGCUCUGUCCCAGUACCUAGAACAGUGCCAGGUAUAUGGAAGGGGAUCAAUAAAAAUGU